rnacentral:rRNA from 1 species
GAACCUUACCUAGGCUCGAACGGCUUCGGACAAUCCUCAGAAAUGGGGACUUCCCGCAAGGGACCGGAGUCGAGGUGCUGCAUGGCUGUCGUCAGCUCGUGUCGUGAGAUGUUGGGUUAAGUCCCGCAACGAGCGCAACCCUUGUCCUGUGUUGCCAUACCUUUAUCAGUGGAACUCGCAGGAGACCGCCAGGGAUAACCUGGAGGAAGGUGGGGAUGACGUCAAGUCCUCAUGGCCUUUAUGUCUAGGGCUACACACGUGCUACAAUGGACGGUACAAAGGGUCGCCAACCCGCGAGGGGGAGCCAAUCCCAAAAAACCGUUCUCAGUUCGGAUUGCAGGCUGCAACUCGCCUGCAUGAAGCUGGAAUCGCUAGUAAUGCCGUAUCAGAACGAUGGCGUGAAUACGUUCCCGGGCCUUGUCACACCGA